GAUGAACGCUGGCGGCGUGCCUAAUACAUGCAAGUCGAGCGAACAGACGAGGAGCUUGCUCCUCUGACGUUAGCGGCGGACGGGUGAGUAACACGUGGAUAACCUACCUAUAAGACUGGGAUAACUUCGGGAAACCGGAGCUAAUACCGGAUAAUAUAUUGAACCGCAUGGUUCAAUAGUGAAAGACGGUUUUCCUGUCACUUAUAGAUGGAUCCGCGCCGCAUUAGCUAGUUGGUAAGGUAACGGCUUACCAAGGCAACGAUGCGUAGCCGACCUGAGAGGGUGAUCGGCCACACUGGAACUGAGACACGGUCCAGACUCCUACGGGAGGCAGCAGUAGGGAAUCUUCCGCAAUGGGCGAAAGCCUGACGGAGCAACGCCGCGUGAGUGAUGAAGGUCUUCGGAUCGUAAAGCUCUGUUAUUAGGGAAGAACAAAUGUGUAAGUAACUAUGCACGUCUUGACGGUACCUAAUCAGAAAGCCACGGCUAACUACGUG
rnacentral:rRNA from 1 species